GACAGAGGGGGCAAGCGUUGCUCGGAAUCACUGGGCGUAAAGGGCGCGUAGGCGGCGCGGAUAGUCGGCGGUGAAAGCCCGGAGCUCAACUCCGGGUCGGCCGUCGAUACUUCCGGGCUUGAGCACUGUAGAGGCAGAUGGAAUUCCGGGUGUAGCGGUGGAAUGCGUAGAGAUCCGGAAGAACACCGGUGGCGAAGGCGGUCUGCUGGGCAGUUGCUGACGCUGAUGCGCGACAGCGUGGGGAGCAAACAGG
rnacentral:rRNA from 1 species